rnacentral:rRNA from 1 species
ACUCCUACGGGAGGCAGCAGCUAAGAAUAUUCCGCAAUGGACGAAAGUCUGACGGAGCGACGCCGCGUGGAUGAAGAAGGCCGCAAGGUUGUAAAAUCCUUUUGCUGGGGAAGAAUAAGUCCAGGAGGGAAUGCCUGGAUGAUGACAUGAACCGGCGAAUAAGCCCCGGCCAACUACGUGCCAGCAGCCGCGGUAACACGUAGGGGGCAAGCGUUGUUCGGAAUUACUGGGCGUAAAGGGCAUGUAGGCGGUUUAGUAAGCUUGGCGUGAAAGACCACAGCUCAACUGUGGGGUUGCGUUGAGAACUGCUGAACUUGAGUUACGGAGAGGGAGCUAGAAUUCCUGGUGUAGGGGUGGAAUCUGUAGAGAUCAGGAAGAAUACCGAUGGCGAAGGCAAGCUUCUGGCCGAUAACUGACGCUGAGGUGCGAAAGUGUGGGGAUCAAACAGGAUUAGAUACCCUGGUAGUC